AUGCGUGAGCGUGCUAAGGUAGCGUUAUAAUUAGCCUUUUAAUUGGAGGCCAGUGAAUGGCAAGACUAGGAACACCUUUACUUUGUGGUGUCAAAAAAACUUUUCGUCUAAGUGAAAAGACUUAGAUAACAAAGGAAGACGAAAAGACCCCGCGGAGCUUUACCUCUUCUCGCGCUUCUGUUUACACACUUAAAAGUGCUUAAGGUUUGAUUGGGGCAAUCUCGGAAUCAUCAAAGCUUCCGAUUCUUUAGAAAUCACAUCUAAAACUUACUAAGGACCAAAAAGAAGCUACCCCGGGGAUAACAGCGUAAUCCAACUCAAGAGUACAUAUCGAAAGUUGGGUUUGCGACCUCGAUGUUGGCUUAAGGAUAUCCACAUUAGUGCAACCGCUAUGACAGGAUAGUCUGUUCGACUAUUAUACCCUUACACGAGCUGAGUUAAGACCGGCGUAAGCUAGGUUGGUUUCUAUCUCCUUUAUCUUAAAUAUCUUCUUGAUUGUACGAAGGACC
rnacentral:rRNA from 1 species